rnacentral:rRNA from 1 species
CCUACGGGAGGCAGCAGUGGGGAAUAUUGCACAUUGGGCGCAAGCCUGAUGCAGCCAUGCCGCGUGUAUGAAGAAGGCCUUCGAGUUGUAAAGUACUUUCAGUCGUGAGGAAGGCGGCGUCGUUAAUAGCGGCGUUGUUUGACGUUAGCGACAGAAGAAGCACCGGCUAACUCCGUGCCAGCAGCCGCGGUAAU